GCCAUUGCUCUGGUCUCAUCUUUCAGGCUUCAAGGAACCAGACCUGGGAGAAGACAGAGUGUGCCGCCACUCCGGCCAUAUGGGUGGAUUCAGAGCAGGGGACACUUGAAAGGGGGCAAAAGGAGUUGCUCCCCCUCGACCCUUCUGUCACAGAUAGGCAUCAUGCUCUUCUGCUGAAUGCACACAAUGGGCUCUGUUGACAGACAGGUAUAUUUGUAAAUAAAACAGCUGAGAUGACAUUGUCUGAGAUGUGGAGAAACUCUUCCGGCCGGACCAACAUGAAGACAUGAUGCUGAAGCAGAAUGAAUCUCUCUCACUGACCUUGAUUUUUUUCAGUUGCACAACUAUUCUGAGUGUACGGUAACAUGCUUUUCAUUUAGAAUAUCUUACUGUAACCUUUUUGGCUUUUGCAGUUGGCUCCCUGUAUUUUCACAGUAUGCAAGUGCUGAAUAUACAGACAUUCAA